rnacentral:rRNA from 1 species
ACGGGUGAGUAACACGUGGGCAACCUGCCCUUGAGACUGGGAUAACUUCGGGAAACCGGAGCUAAUACCGGAUAAUAUGAGGAACCUCCUGGUUCUUUAUUGAAAGAUGGUUUCGGCUAUCACUUAAGGAUGGGCCCGCGGCGCAUUAGCUAGUUGGUGAGGUAACGGCUCACCAAGGCGACGAUGCGUAGCCGACCUGAGAGGGUGAUCGGCCACACUGGGACUGAGACACGGCCCAGACUCCUACGGGAGGCAGCAGUAGGGAAUCUUCCACAAUGGACGAAAGUCUGAUGGAGCAACGCCGCGUGAGUGAUGAAGGCCUUCGGGUCGUAAAGCUCUGUUGUUAGGGAAGAACAAGUGCGAGAGUAACUGCUCGCACCUUGACGGUACCUAACCAGAAAGCCACGGCUAACUACGUGCCAGCAGCCGCGGUAAUACGUAGGUGGCAAGCGUUAUCCGGAAUUAUUGGGCGUAAAGCGCGCGCAGGUGGUUUCUUAAGUCUGAUGUGAAAGCCCACGGCUCAACCGUGGAGGGUCAUUGGAAACUGGGGAACUUGAGUGCAGAAGAGGAAAGUGGAAUUC